rnacentral:rRNA from 1 species
UACAGAGGGGGCAAGCGUUGUUCGGAGUUACUGGGCGUAAAGGGCGCGUAGGCGGCCUUCUAAGUCGAACGUGAAAUCCCCGGGCUCAACCCGGGAACUGCGUCCGAUACUGGAAGGCUUGAAUCCGGGAGAGGGAUGUGGAAUUCCAGGUGUAGCGGUGAAAUGCGUAGAUAUCUGGAGGAACACCGGUGGCGAAGGCGACAUCCUGGACCGGUAUUGACGCUGAGGCGCGAAAGCCAGGGGAGCAAACGGG